AUUGCCCCAGUAGCGGCGAGUGAAGCGGCAAGAGCUCAGAUUUGAAAUCGUGUUUCGGCACGAGUUGUAGAGUGUAGGCGGGAGUCUCUGUGGAGCGCGGUGUCCAAGUCCCUUGGAACAGGGUGCCUGAGAGGGUGAGAGCCCCGUAGGGUGCUGCGCGAAGCUUUUGAGGCCCUGCUGACGAGUCGAGUUGUUUGGGAAUGCAGCUCCAAGCGGGUGGUAAAUUCCAUCUAAGGCUAAAUAUUGGCGAGAGACCGAUAGCGAACAAGUACUGUGAAGGAAAGAUGAAAAGCACUUUGAAAAGAGAGUGAAACAGCACGUGAAAUUGUUGAAAGGGAAGGGUAUUGGGCUCGACAUGGGGGGUGCGCACCGCUGUCUCUUGUAGGCGGCGCUCUGGGCGCCCUCUGGGCCAGCAUCGGUUCCUGCUGCGGGAGAAGGGGCUCCGGAAAGUGGCUCUUCGGAGUGUUAUAGCCGGGGCCAGAUGCCGCGUGUGGGGACCGAGGACUGCGGCUUCUGUCUCGGAUGCUG
rnacentral:rRNA from 1 species